rnacentral:rRNA from 1 species
CAGCAGCCGCGGUAAUACGUAGGUGGCAAGCGUUGUCCGGAAUUAUUGGGCGUAAAGGGCUCGCAGGCGGUUUCUUAAGUCUGAUGUGAGAGCCCCCGGCUCAACCGGGGAGGGUCAUUGGAAACUGGGAAACCUGAGUGCAGAAGAGGAGAGUGGAAUUCCACGUGUAGCGGUGAAAUGCGUAGAGACGUGGAGGAACACCAGUGGCGAAGGCGACUCUCUGGUCUGUAACUGACGCUGAGGAGCGAAAGCGUGGGGAGCGAACAGGAUUAGAUACCCCGGUAGUCCCUGUCUCUUAUAC